ACGGAGGAUGCAAGCGUUAUCCGGAUUUAUUAGGUUUAAAGGGUGCGUAGGCGGAGACUUAAGUCAGUGGUAAAAGGCAAUAGCUUAACUAAUGUAAGCCAUUGAUACUGGGUUUCUUGAGUUCGGUAGAGGUAGGCGGAAUGUGUUGUGUAGCGGUGAAAUGCAUAGAUAUAACACAGAACACCGAUUGCGAAGGCAGCUUACUAUGCUGUUUCUUACUCUGAUUCACGAGAUCUUGGUGAUCAAACAU
rnacentral:rRNA from 1 species